GACGAACGCUGGCGGCGUGCUUAACACAUGCAAGUCGAACGAUGAAGUUCCUUCGGGAAUGGAUUAGUGGCGAACGGGUGAGGAACACGUGAACAAUCUGCCCCUUACACGGGAGUAACUUCGGGAAACCGAAGCUAACACCCGAUAUUGAAUUCGGUAGGCAUCUACUGAAUUUGAAAUGGUCCGCCGGUAAGGGAUGAGUUCGCGGCCUAUCAGCUUGUUGGUGAGGUAACGGCUCACCAAGGCGACGACGGGUAGCCGGCCUGAGAGGGCGACCGGCCACACUGGGACUGAGACACGGCCCAGACUCCUACGGGAGGCAGCAGUGGGGAAUAUUGCGCAAUGGACGAAAGUCUGACGCAGCAACGCCGCGUGAGGGAUGACGGCCUUCGGGUUGUAAACCUCUUUCAAUCGGGACGAAGCGAAAGUGACGGUACCGAUACAAGAAGCACCGGCUAACUAUGUGCCAGCAGCCGCCGUAA
rnacentral:rRNA from 1 species